rnacentral:lncRNA from 1 species
GUAUAUAAAAAAGUAUUAUUCGUCAAAUCUUUUAGAGCCUAAUUUAUGCCUUUGAAAAAGAAAAGUAAUUCUAAAGUCUUCAUUAGGGCAGCUUGCUGCAUGAUGCUAAGAAAGUAACUUAACUGACUGAUCAUUAGGAAGACCAGGGAUGAAAUCAAAAUGAAACAAUAAGAACUAGCUGGGAACUCUUCUUUCUGAGCAACAGCAAGAACAGGAAGCAAUAAAUCGAGAAGACGUUUACUGAACCCCAAUAAUCUGCCCAAAGUAGAAGAGUUGAGAACUGGACAUGCAGAAGGCCACAGAGAUCUAAAGGUUUUCUUCCUCAGAACUGUUGUCUGGAAAACUCAUCUACUGUCGCACUGCAUACUGAGCAGCUCACUCACCCUGAGUUUUGCUUGGGAUUCUAAUGCUAUUAUUAUAAAUAGUAUUAUAGAUAGGCUAUAGCACUGGGCCUUCGCAAGGAUAACUAAACGCCUCCAGGCUUUUAAAAGGAAACACGGGGAAUUUGCAUUUAUUGUCUUGGCUGCAUUAUUGGCAACAUAAAGGAUUCUUUGGAGGCUUGAGAGGUGGGGUCAGCCAUGUCAUUUGCAUUUUAGGAGAGCUUAAUCAACUGAUUAAUGACACAGAAGAAUGUAUCCACUCACCUGAUGUUUCAUUUGCAUAGUUUAUCAGUAGGAGAUUUUUUUCUGAUAAUUUGCAUACUCUACUGCUUUCACAAUUAGGAUAAACUCUAUAAACAAUGGCCACCGGCUAAAUCUAAAUACAGAAGGGGAAAUUAGAAUUUAUCUAGACCACUGACGUUAACAAAUAUAUAUUUUUAAUUAUUAUAAUUGCUACUCAGCAGAAAUUGACCAAGUCAUACAGGCUUCACACAUUAAAUUAUUUAGACUUUA